UACGUAGGGUGCAAGCGUUGUCCGGAAUUAUUGGGCGUAAAGAGCUCGUAGGCGGUCUGUUGCGUCGGCUGUGAAAACCCGGGGCUCAACCCCCGGGCCUGCAGCCGAUACGGGCAGACUAGAGUUCGGCAGGGGAGACUGGAAUUCCUGGUGUAGCGGUGAAAUGCGCAGAUAUCAGGAGGAACACCGGUGGCGAAGGCAGGUCUCUGGGCCACUACUGACGCUGAGAAGCGAAAAGCAUGGGGGAGCGAACAGG
rnacentral:rRNA from 1 species